rnacentral:SRP_RNA from 1 species
CGCACUAGUCGGGGAUCUAGCGGUGCCCUGUACCUGCAAUCCGCUUUGCAGGGAUGAAUUCCCACACCCGGGCGUACGUAUACUGCUGCCCAUCACGAUCAGUGGCGUUGAUAGAACGGUCUUGCGCAAUGGAAUCCCGUGAACCAUGUCAGGUGGGGAACCAAGCAGCAUUAAGCGGAUCUUUCCGUGUGCCGCAAGAAAGCCGUUCCGGAGCUUACUGUCGGGGCUUCGUGUACGUACCGUUCAAAUGUGGGUGUG